rnacentral:rRNA from 1 species
CGGGUGGUAAUGCCGGAUGCUCCAGUUGAUCGCAUGGUCUUCUGGGAAAGCUUUCGCGGUAUGGGAUGGGGUCGCGUCCUAUCAGCUUGACGGCGGGGUAACGGCCCACCGUGGCUUCGACGGGUAGCCGGCCUGAGAGGGCGACCGGCCACAUUGGGACUGAGAUACGGCCCAGACUCCUACGGGAGGCAGCAGUGGGGAAUAUUGCACAAUGGGCGCAAGCCUGAUGCAGCGACGCCGCGUGAGGGAUGGAGGCCUUCGGGUUGUAAACCUCUUUUAUCGGGGAGCAAGCGAGAGUGAGUUUACCCGUUGAAUAAGCACCGGCUAACUACGUGCCAGCAGCCGCGGUAAUACGUAGGGUGCAAGCGUUAUCCGGAAUUAUUGGGCGUAAAGGGCUCGUAGGCGGUUCGUCGCGUCCGGUGUGAAAGUCCAUCGCUUAACGGUGGAUCCGCGCCGGGUACGGGCGGGCUUGAGUGCGGUAGGGGAGACUGGAAUUCCCGGUGUAACGGUGGAAUGUGUAGAUAUCGGGAAAGAACA